CCUACGGGGGCUGCAGUGGGGAAUAUUGGACAAUGGGGGCAACCCUGAUCCAGCCAUGCCGCGUGUGUGAAGAAGGCCCUCGGGUUGUAAAGCACUUUCAGUGAGGAAGAACGCCUGGUGGUUAAUACCCAUCAGGAAAGACAUCACUCACAGAAGAAGCACCGGCUAACUCCGUGCCAGCAGCCGCGGUAAUACGGAGGGUGCGAGCGUUAAUCGGAAUUACUGGGCGUAAAGCGCGCGUAGGUGGCUUGAUAAGCCGGUUGUGAAAGCCCCGGGCUCAACCUGGGAACGGCAUCCGGAACUGUCAAGCUAGAGUGCAGGAGAGGAAGGUAGAAUUCCCGGUGUAGCGGUGAAAUGCGUAGAGAUCGGGAGGAAUACCAGUGGCGAAGGCGGCCUUCUGGACUGACACUGACACUGAGGUGCGAAAGCGUGGGUAGCAAACAGGAUUAGAUACCCCAGUAGUC
rnacentral:rRNA from 1 species